rnacentral:misc_RNA from 1 species
CCCAAAUUUUACCUUCCUUUUGAGCUGUUCGCUGGUAGGAAAAGUAAACCCUCAUUCACUGCUGCUAGUUUGCAGUUCACUGGUUUUGCAUGACUGACAUAAAGAGCCCUCCAUGCCUCUGCCUAUAUAAAAACUCUAUCAGACUUUCGUUUAUGCCUCAAACAACUAGAUGAAACUAUACUAAGGGCAUUGUAUUUUAGCAGAGAACAAGUGCAAACUGAUAUAGAUUCCAACCCAUUAACUCCUAAUUCUGCUCUAAAUCAAGAGAAAUAGAGAGAGAGAAGACUCAUACAAUGCCUUCUUUUUUCAUCAUAUUCCUUCUCUGUUUCACAUUUAUUAAUAAUCUCUCAGAGGCUAGCCAUGACAGGAAGCUUCCCUCCGCAGUCGUUGUUGGUACAGUAUACUGUGACACAUGUUUCCGAGAGGAUUUCUCAAAGAACAGC